rnacentral:lncRNA from 1 species
CACAGAAGUUGCUUUUUUUUUUUUUUUUUUUUGGUAUCCUGUCUAAUUUCUAAUUACAGGUUUUCAUCCCAUUCGUACUCAACCAUGAGAAAUUAAAGGUGCAACAUUCCCAGCUGGAACCCACCUUUCCCCAACAUUUCAAGCUGCUGUAUCACAGCUCCCUGGUGUUUACUCAGCUGGACAGAAUUCUUAUUUUGCCCAAUGCAAACAACUGUCCAACAGGAGGCCAUCUAUAAACUGCACUGUUUUCACCAAAAAAAAAAAAAAAAAGGCCAGGAUUCCCUUUUUCCCAUGCCCCACCACAUUGUAAUAUCUUUGGAAGAUAAUUAAAGUAGCUUCUCACAAAAGAAGUUAGAUAUUUUAGAACGGCUUCUAUAACAGAAAUGUCUAGUAGAGCAUGAAAAAUGUGUCCUGGGUCAGGAUUUGUAAAUGUGUGAGCAAAUACUUUUGACUUAUAGAAAUGAGCAUAUUAACAUGCUCAAAGUUAAUUAAAAUAAAAUGCAUUUUUAAUGCACGCUUUUACAGUGGAUGUCGUUUUCGUUGCAGGUGAAAUGAUGAAGAGAGCAUGAUUUUGGGACUGACUCUUAGUACUCCAACUUCAAAAUCUCUUCUUUUUGGCUUAUUUAAGACCACUCACUAAGCAACGCACCUAUGCUGUCACAGAAUGAGUAAGUUGCGGCUGCGAUCUGCAUUCACAGAGCUCAAGGUGUAAGAGGGAAGACGAAUGCGCUUUCUUGCAUGGAUCUUAUUAGUCUCCUAUGCACCGAGUGCCUUUUACCUGGAAAGGAGCCUGGAACUGCAGGAUGAGUGGUCUCUCGAAUCCAGGCUCAUUUCUUCAGCUGACCGUUGUCGUCUCGUCUGGAGAACCACACUCAUCCUAAAUGGCCUCAUGGCUCCAGUCUUUCUUCUACAGGAGCCAGUCUGCCUUCCAUACCACUAA